rnacentral:RNase_P_RNA from 1 species
GCGAGCUGGUGCACGAGCUACUGCUAAGGCAGAGGAAACUCCUCCCUCCAUGCAGUAAGUGUGAUCCAGAGAUGGAUAAUCAGAGAUGGUUGGCUCCAGAACAGAAAAAGAUCUGACCCGGCGUACUAUGAUGGCAAAACCUGAGGUUUCCGGCAAAGAAUGAAAGAGCUGCCCCACACGGAGCAAGGCCAAACAAAACUAUAAGGACUGCACUUUGUUUAGGUAGGCCGCAUAGCUGAAUCUCGUAAAAACAGAAGGAGGGUUACGGCUGGCACGC